rnacentral:lncRNA from 1 species
ACAAAGAGAGCAAUUCUCACCCUGUUCCACUAACCAAACAUUCACCAACUCCAAUUAAUACUCCUAAAUAGAGCACAAACAAGGAAAUUCUAAGCAACAGAAGAAGCCAAAAACUUCAUUGAAAGCACCUUAAAAUAGUCCAUUCCUUUUGCAUAGCGCAACCCCCAUUUUCAAGUCUGAGUUCCGUCGAAGUCGCUGGUGUAGUGUCGCGGUCGUGGUCGUUUGGUUGAGUUUCAGUCGAUCAAUUUGACUAUUGCGGCUGCACGAGGUUUCUGUUCUAACCCUACCUGAUCUUUGAUUUCGUUAUAUUUGAUUGAUUUCUCGUUUGGCAUUUUGCUUAAUAAAUUUUGCCAUUGUCUUAUGUAGUGGGUGCUGAUUUACCGUUUAGUCUAAGAAAGUGAGUAGUCUAUGGAAAUAAUAUCAAUACAUUCCAUAUACCAAACCUUAUAACCACUCAUGUUUAAGGUUUGGGUUUAUUACAUUUAAN